rnacentral:pre_miRNA from 1 species
ACAAAAUAUAAUUCGACUAGAUGUCCUCUAGAGUUCUCCCGAACACUUCAUUGGAAAUUUGUUAUUCGGUAAACUACCAAUUAAUUCCACUGAAGUGUUUGGGGGAACUCCGGAUGUCAUUUGGUGAUGUCAAGCCAUGU